rnacentral:rRNA from 1 species
UACGUAGGGGGCAAGCGUUGUCCGGAUUUAUUGGGCGUAAAGAGCGUGUAGGCGGCUUGGAAGGUCAGCUGUGAAAACUCGAGGCUCAACCUCGAAACGUCGGUUGAAACCACCUGGCUAGAGUCCGGAAGAGGAGAGUGGAAUUCCCGGUGUAGCGGUGAAAUGCGCAGAUAUCGGGAAGAACACCCGUGGCGAAGGCGGCUCUCUGGGACGGUACUGACGCUAAGGCGCGAAAGCGUGGGGAGCGAACAGG